rnacentral:tRNA from 1 species
UCCGAUAUGGUGUAGUGGCUAACAUCGCCGUCUCUCACACGGCAGCCGGGGGUUCGAUUCCCUAUCGGAG